rnacentral:lncRNA from 1 species
AAGAGGGAGAGAGUAAGAGAGAGAGAGAGUAAGAGAGUGAGAGGAGAGGAGAGAGGUGAGAGUAAGAGAGUCAGGUGGGACCAAGCAGCCCCUCUUAUGCUGGGCUGUUAUCUUUACUGUCACUAGGUAACUGGGGAGGAGUGUAACCUGAAGGUCAGAAGCUUGGGACAUUGUCUACGUGACUACUAGCCACGCUUCUCCUGUCGGGCUGUGGAGGUGCUAACUUCAACAGGAGCUAGAGUUCCAGGAAACAUGAGGGAACACCUACUGUGCCAUGCAGGUGAAUUAUCACCACUCCGGGGUUCAGACCUCAGCUUGACUGGAGACCAGACUGUCUGUGAAUAGCCCAAUGCCCCACAAUGGGGUUUUACUGUUAAAUCUUUGGGGAGUAACCAAGAGCAAAGUUGAUAAUUUGUAAUGUUUAGCGAGUCUAUGGUGCCAACUCCCAAAGAAGUAAUCCAUUCUUGGCACAUUUGUGAGUUAAUUAACUGAUAUGUGAGAAGUAAAUUGGUGCCAAUAGUUUUAUAAAUUAAGAAUUAGCUUGAUGUCCCUCGUUCAUGAAGAUUCACUACUACAUAACUAGAUGUGGUAUAAAAUAAAUAGGCAAAUGAGAAGAUUUGGCUUUUAUUUCCAAUUCCUUCUUGGAUACUCAUAGAACUCCUAUGAGUCUGUCAAUAAUUACAGAAGGAGAGUCUAGGGUCUUAUGAAUUUGCUGCUUGAAAUGAAUCUGGAACAUUUAAGACUAAACAUUGAGUCACUUAUACCAUGCGCUGUAUCAACUGACCAGGAUUCAUGGGAACUUGCAGAGAUCAGGGACUAUGGAGGGUUCUAACCUUGGACCUCUGCAUGUAUGUUGGAGCUGAGUAGCUUGGUGUUCUUGCAGGAGUCCUACCAGUGGCCGUCAGGACUGUCCAUGCCUCUGUUUACUUAUAGGACCCUUUUCCUAUUCUGGGUUGCCUUGUCCAACCUUGACAUGAUGGCAUGUGCUUAGUUUUUUUGUAGACUGUUGUAUCAUGUUUGAUUAAUUUCUCAGGGUGGUCUGUUUUUCUGAUGAAAGUACAUCUGUGGGAAGAAGGUAGGCUGGGGUAGGGAGGGAAGGAAUCUGUAAUCAGGAUGUAAUAAAUGAGAGAAGAAGAAACAGAAAAAGAAAAAUGAAGAAAAAUGAAAGACCAUCUCUCAUUUUCUGUAUUUUGUUUGGCUGUGGAUUUUUGUAAUAAUCUCUUUCUGUUGCAAAGAGAAGUUUCUUUGAUAAGGGUUGACAACUAUACUUUUCUGUGGGUAUGAGGAUAAAUAUUAAGAAUAUUCCUGGGAACUAAUGCUGGCUCCCUAAACAAGACCUGAAUCAACAGUGAAAACAACUGGACAUGCUACAACAAAAGAGUGAACUAGAGGUGCACACAGUUCAACAAGAGCUAUGAACAUUGGAAAGGGCUGAGAGUGGGAGAAAAUGGUAACGUACAGAGAAGAGUGCUGCCUAUUAGUUAGCCAAUACCAAAUAGUUGGACCUGAGAACAUAUGCACAUAGAUGUUUAUACAAUUUUUCUGCCUCUUCUUCUGCAUUGAUCCUUGAGCCAUGAUGGGGAUGGUCUUUAUAAAAACACCCUAUGUUGGAGUUAGUCCCAUGAAGUUUAUCACUGUCUACAUAUUGUUUAGCCAUCGAUUUGUUGUUGUUGCUGUCUUAUUUACUAUAUUCUACAAGGAAAAGCUUUUCUACUGGGGGUUAAGUAAUGAACUGACUUAUGAGUAAACCAGUAUUUUAUUAGAAGUAAUUUUAUUGCUAUGCUUCUUUACCAGAAUAAUGGUAGUAUGUUUUCCCCCAUGCCAAUGGCCAAUUCAGACUCAGAUUUAUGAUCACUUUAGUAUUGUUAUUAAUGUCUACGUUACUCUUCUAGUAGUGUGUAAAAUACCUUCUAGCCUAUUGAACACUAGACAGUUGAAGUGAAACUUUUAGUUUGGUAUCAUGUUAAUCUCUUCAUGUUCAAUGUCACAAGUAAUUUAGUUGUGUCUCAGUAAUAGAGCCUUACCAUUAAGUAAUAGAGGGUAACCAAUAGCUUUGGAAAUGGCCUGUGAUGUUUGGCCAAUGAGGGCUAUGGGAGCUGUAUGGACAACAAUUAAAGAAGAUCCAACCCAUUCGUGGAACUGGAGGUUUUAUUAGUG